rnacentral:rRNA from 1 species
UUUCGAAUCAUCCACAAUGGGCGAAAGCCUGAUGGUGCGACGCCGCGUGAGGGAUGAAGGUCCUCGGAUUGUAAACCUCUGUCACCAGGGAGCAAAAACUAGACUCAUACUCUAGCUUGAGUUAACCUGGAGAGGAAGUAGUGGCAAACUCCGUGCCAGCAGCCGCGGUAAUACGGAGACUACGAGCGUUACUCGGAUUUACUGGGCGUAAAGGGUGCGUAGGCGGUCAGAUGUGUUAGGUGUGAAAGCCUGGGGCUUAACUCCAGAAUUGCGCCUAAAACUAUCUGACUCGAGCCUCGGAGAGGCAAGCGGAAUUCCUAGUGUAGCAGUGAAAUGCGUAGAUAUUGGAAGGAACACCAGUGGCGAAGGCGGCUUCCUGGUCCAACACUGACGCUGAGGCGCGAAAGCGUGGGGAGCAAACAGGAUUAGAUACCCAAGUAGUCCCUGAGCGGGCUGGCAAGGCGCAU